rnacentral:tRNA from 1 species
GGCCCCGUAGCUCAGUGGAUAGAGCAGCAGCCUUCUAAGCUGUUGGUCGCGUGUUCGAAUCACGCCGGGGUCGCCA